rnacentral:rRNA from 1 species
UACAGAGGGUGCGAGCGUUAAUCGGAAUUACUGGGCGUAAAGGGCGUGUAGGCGGCUUGAUAAGUGGGAUGUUAAAUCCCCCGGCUCAACCGGGGACCUGCAUCUCAUACUGUUCAGCUCGAGCACAUCAGAGGAGACUGGAAUUCCCGGUGUAGCGGUGAAAUGCGUAGAUAUUGGGAGGAACACCGGUGGCGAAGGCGGCUACCUGGACCGGUACUGACGCUGAGGCGCGAAAGCUGGGGUAGCAAACAGG